rnacentral:piRNA from 1 species
UAAGCAGAAUGGAAACGAUUU